GUGGGGAAUCUUAGACAAUGGGGGCAACCCUGAUCUAGCCAUGCCGCGUGAGUGAUGAAGGCCUUAGGGUUGUAAAGCUCUUUCAGCUGGGAAGAUAAUGACGGUACCAGCAGAAGAAGCCCCGGCUAACUCCGUGCCAGCAGCCGCGGUAAUACGGAGGGGGCUAGCGUUGUUCGGAAUUACUGGGCGUAAAGCGCACGUAGGCGGACUGGAAAGUCAGAGGUGAAAUCCCAGGGCUCAACCUUGGAACUGCCUUUGAAACUAUCAGUCUGGAGUUCGAGAGAGGUGAGUGGAAUUCCGAGUGUAGAGGUGAAAUUCGUAGAUAUUCGGAGGAACACCAGUGGCGAAGGCGGCUCACUGGCUCGAUACUGACGCUGAGGCGCGAAAGCGUGGGGAGCAAA
rnacentral:rRNA from 1 species